rnacentral:rRNA from 1 species
UACGGGGGGGCAAGCGGUUGUUCGGAAUUACUGGGCGUAAAGGGCGCGUAGGCGGCCUGCUAAGUCGGAUGUGAAAUCCCUCGGCUCAACCGAGGAACUGCAUCCGAUACUGGCGGGCUUGAAUCCGGGAGAGGGAUGUGGAAUUCCGAGGUGUAGCGGUGAAAUGCGUAGAUAUCUGGAGGAACACCGGUGGCGAAGGCGG